rnacentral:rRNA from 1 species
GACGUAGGGCGCGAGCGUUGUCCGGAUUUAUUGGGCGUAAAGAGCUCGUAGGCGGCUUGUCGCGUCGACUGUGAAAACCCGUGGCUCAACCAUGUGGUCUGCAGUCGAUACGGGCAGGCUAGAAUUCGGUAGGGGAGACUGGAAUUCCUGGUGUAGCGGUGAAAUGCGCAGAUAUCAGGAGGAACACCGGUGGCGAAGGCAGGUCUCUGGGCCGAUACUGACGCUGAGGAGCGAAAGCGUGGGGAGCGAACAGG